GACGAACGCUGGCGGCGUGCUUAACACAUGCAAGUCGAACGGAAAGGCCCUGCUUUUGUGGGGUGCUCGAGUGGCGAACGGGUGAGUAACACGUGAGUAACCUGCCCUUGACUUUGGGAUAACUUCAGGAAACUGGGGCUAAUACCGGAUAGGAUCUCCUGCUGCAUGGUGGGGGUUGGAAAGUUUCGGCGGUUGGGGAUGGACUCGCGGCUUAUCAGCUUGUUGGUGGGGUAGUGGCUUACCAAGGCUUUGACGGGUAGCCGGCCUGGGAGGGUGACCGGCCACGUUGGGACUGAGAUACGGCCCAGACUCCUACGGGAGGCAGCAGUGGGGAAUAUUGCACAAGGGGCGGAACCCUGAUGCAGCAACGCCGCGUGCGGGAUGACGGCCUUCGGGUUGUAAACCGCUUUCGCCUGUGACGAAGCGUGAGUGACGGUAAUGGGUAAAGAAGCACCGGCUAACUACGUG
rnacentral:rRNA from 1 species